AGCAUAUCAAUAAGCGGAGGAAAAGAAACCAACAGGGAUUGCCCUAGUAACGGCGAGUGAAGCGGCAACAGCUCAAAUUUGAAAUCUGGCGCAAGCCCGAGUUGUAAUUUGUAGAGGAUGCUUCUAGGUAGCGACCGGUCUAAGUUCCUUGGAACAGGACGUCAUAGAGGGUGAGAAUCCCGUAUGUGACCGGCCCGCACCUUCUACGUAGCUCCUUCGACGAGUCGAGUUGUUUGGGAAUGCAGCUCUAAAUGGGAGGUAAAUUUCUUCUAAAGCUAAAUACCGGCCAGAGACCGAUAGCGCACAAGUAGAGUGAUCGAAAGAUGAAAAGCACUUUGGAAAGAGAGUUAAAAAGCACGUGAAAUUGUUGAAAGGGAAGCGCUCACAACCAGACUUCUGGGCGGUGUUCCGCCGGUCUUCUGACCGGUCUACUCGCCGUCCCGAGGCCAACAUCAUCUGGGACCGCUGGAUAAGACCUCAGGAAUGUAGCUUCCCUCGGGAAGUGUUAUAGCCUGUGGUGAUGCAGCGCGUCUCGGGUGAGGUCCGCGCUUCGGCAAGGAUGUUGGCGUAAUGGUUGUCAGCGGCCCGUCUUGAAACACGGACCAAGGAGUCUAACAUCUAUGCGAGUGUUCGGGUGUUAAACCCCUACGCGUAAUGAAAGUGAACGGAGGUGGGAAGCGUAAGCUGCACCAUCGACCGAUCCUGAUGUCCUCGGAUGGAUUUGAGUAAGAGCAUAGCUGUUGGGACCCGAAAGAUGGUGAACUAUGCCUGAAUAGGGUGAAGCCAGAGGAAACUCUGGUGGAGGCUCGCAGCGGUUCUGACGUGCAAAUCGAUCGUCAAAUUUGGGUAUAGGGGCGAAAGACUAAUCGAACCAU
rnacentral:rRNA from 1 species